GCCCCGCUAGCUCAGGGGAUAGAGCAACCGCUUCCUAAGCGGCAGGUCGCAGGUUCAAAUCCUGCGCGGGGCA
rnacentral:tRNA from 1 species